AGAGGCUGGAGAGAAACAUGACAACGUCCAUCUUACCGUUCUGGCGUUCAGCGAGAGAGAGGACUCAUCGAGGUCUGUCUGCAGAGAGCUGCAGCCAUUUCUGGUCUGAAACAGGGCAAUGGAUCAAACUUCUUCCUGGCCAUGAGCAUGACUCUAAAGUGUCCCAGAGUGCUUCAUGUUUUUCGAGGUCUCCGACAAGCCUCAAAGAUGCUGUCAGUCUCUGGAACAUCAUCACAUCGGCCCAGUCAGAGACAAAGUAGAGACAGAAUACAUUUAAAGCUUACGCUGCACAACUCGAAGUUACUGGCAUGCAUCAGCACAAGGAGACCAAUGAGACUCUAUUUAAGAGCAGCUAAUUGCUCUAUUUGCAUAUGAUGUGGCCUCCAGAGGAAGCCGAAUGUAAGCCCUCUUCAGACAGGAUUGGUGUUCCUCUGUGGACCUUCACUUAUUUGUAAUAAUUGCAGCAGUGGUCUGCAAUUUCAAAUCUGUGCCAAUCUUCUGAGUCCUAAUUUGUUGAAUUAGAAUUCGACUGAAAAUCACCUCCCGUGUUUUUACCAAAGACACUUGUUCGAACGCUUUGAACACAUUCAGGGGAAAUGUUCAAGAGACCGGUCUCACUAAUGGAAGAGCAACCUCAAACUCUAAUAGCUUCUUCACAGUUAUAAUACUAAGAGUUCAGAGGAGUCUGAAAAUCAGAUUCAUGAGAUAAUGAUUGUAGAAAUGAGGACAAGACAGACCUCACUUCCUGUGCAAAUGUUCCAAAUGUUAUUGUAAUAUUAGACCUGUAGGAACAGUAGACUUCAUCAACAACAACAGCAUUUGUCUCUUCCGUUUCAGACAUAUUUAAAGGUACAGUGGGUAGUUUUUAACAUCUUUUACUCUUGUAGUUGUCCUCCCCAAAAUAAUUUGCACAGAUCAACGUUUUUUAAGGUGAAAACUUUACAAAUCGAGGAUCACAUUUAUCAUGCGUCACAGGAGCUUCUUGUCCUCUUAGGCCACCGUUGCUUCACCAACUGUAGGGGUGAGCAGGGGAGCGCUUCAACCUGGAAUCUGACUACUAGAUAUUGCUAAAUACUCCCACUUGUUCACACUGUACCUUUAAGUAAACUUUACACACUGAAGUGUAAUAUUUACCAUAUAAAAGAUUUCUGUGAACCAAUGAAA